rnacentral:rRNA from 1 species
GUCAAGUCAUCAUGGCCCUUAUGUCCAGGGCGACACACGUGCUACAAUGGCCGGUACAAAGGGAAGCGAACGCGCGAGCGUGAGCGGAUCCCGCAAAGCCGGUCUCAGUUCGGAUUGAAGUCUGCAAUUCGACUUCAUGAAGCUGGAAUCGCUAGUAAUCGCAGAUCAGCCAAGCUGCGGUGAAUACGUUCCCGGGCCUU